rnacentral:rRNA from 1 species
GAUCAGCAUGCUGCGGUGAAUACGUUCCCGGGCCUUGUACACACCGCCCGUCACACCAUGGGAGUCGGUAACACCCGAAGCCUGUAGUCUAACCGCAAGGAGGACGCAGUCGAAGGUGGGAUUGAUGACUGGGGUGAAGUCGUAACAAGGUAUC